rnacentral:lncRNA from 1 species
UUAUAUUAAAGAGAGGUUAGUGGGCGCUCUUAAUUCUGCUUUGCAUAUGUUUUUGCAAGUAACAAUAUGCCCAACAUUGGCUUGCCAAACUAGGACCCCCCUUUUCAUACCAGUCUGCACCAAAAGCUUUUUCAACUACUAGUCCGAAGACCAAUAUCCUGACAUUUUUCUUAUUGGUCCAAACAAAUUUUUGCAAAAACUUACUAGUCCGAAUGAAAUUUUACUAGUCUGGGGCAUCGGACUAGUGGCUAACCGUGCAGACUUCAUA